rnacentral:rRNA from 1 species
AUUGAACGCUGGCGGCAGGCCUAACACAUGCAAGUCGAACGGUAACAGGAAGAAGCUUGCUUCUUUGCUGACGAGUGGCGGACGGGUGAGUAAUGUCUGGGAAACUGCCUGAUGGAGGGGGAUAACUACUGGAAACGGUAGCUAAUACCGCAUAACGUCGCAAGACCAAAAAGGGGGACCUUCGGGCCUCUUGCCAUCGGAUGUGCCCAGAUGGGAUUAGCUAGUAGGUGGGGUAACGGCUCACCUAGGCGACGAUCCCUAGCUGGUCUGUGAGGAUGACCAGCCACACUGGAACUGAGACACGGUCCAGACUCCUACGGGAGGCAGCAGUGGGGAAUAUUGCACAAUGGGCGCAAGCCUGAUGCAGCCAUGCCGCGUGUAUGAAGAAGGCCUUCGGGUUGUAAAGUACUUUCAGCGGGGAGGAAGGGAGUAAAGUUAAUACCUUUGCUCAUUGACGUUACCCGCAGAAGAAGCACCGGCUAACUCCGU